CGUCCAGUGGCGUAGCGAUCUAAUGCAUCUCCUUAUCAAAAAGACGGUUGCGGGUUCGUAUCCCGCCUGGUUGA
rnacentral:tRNA from 1 species